UACGUAGGGGUCUAGCGUUGUCCGGAAUCAUUGGGCGUAAAGAGCUCGUAGGCGGUUCGGCAAGUCGGAUGUGAAAUCCCCAGGCUUAACCUGGGAACUGCAUCCGAUACUGGAUGGCUUGAAUCCGGGAGAGGGAUGCAGAAUUCCAGGUGUAGCGGUGAAAUGCGUAGAUAUCUGGAGGAAUACCGGUGGCGAAGGCGGCAUCCUGGACCGGCAUUGACGCUGAGUGAGCGAAAGCCAGGGGAGCAAACGGG
rnacentral:rRNA from 1 species